AUUGAACGCUGGCGGCAUGCUUUACACAUGCAAGUCGAACGGUAACAGGCCUUCGGGUGCUGACGAGUGGCGAACGGGUGAGUAAUGCAUCGGAACGUGCCCAGAGGUGGGGGAUAACGCAGCGAAAGCUGUGCUAAUACCGCAUGUGAUCUGAGGAUGAAAGCGGGGGACCAGGCAGCAAUGUUUGGCCUCGCGCCUUUGGAGCGGCCGAUGUCAGAUUAGGUAGUUGGUGGGGUAAAGGCCUACCAAGCCGACGAUCUGUAGCUGGUCUGAGAGGACGACCAGCCACACUGGGACUGAGACACGGCCCAGACUCCUACGGGAGGUAGCAGUGGGGAAUUUUGGACAAUGGGCGCAAGCCUGAUCCAGCAAUGCCGCGUGCGGGAAGAAGGCCUUCGGGUUGUAAACCGCUUUUGUACGGAACGAAAAGGCUCUGGCUAAUACCUGGGGCUGAUGACGGUACCGUAAGAAUAAGCACCGGCUAACUACGUG
rnacentral:rRNA from 1 species